AUUGAACGCUGGCGGCAGGCCUAACACAUGCGAGUCGAGCGGAUGAAGGGAGCUUGCUCCUGGAUUCAGCGGCGGACGGGUGAGUAAUGCCUAGGAAUCUGCCUGGUAGUGGGGGAUAACGUCCGGAAACGGGCGCUAAUACCGCAUACGUCCUGAGGGAGAAAGUGGGGGAUCUUCGGACCUCACGCUAUCAGAUGAGCCUAGGUCGGAUUAGCUAGUUGGUGGGGUAAAGGCCUACCAAGGCGACGAUCCGUAACUGGUCUGAGAGGAUGAUCAGUCACACUGGAACUGAGACACGGUCCAGACUCCUACGGGAGGCAGCAGUGGGGAAUAUUGGACAAUGGGCGAAAGCCUGAUCCAGCCAUGCCGCGUGUGUGAAGAAGGUCUUCGGAUUGUAAAGCACUUUAAGUUGGGAGGAAGGGCAGUAAGUUAAUACCUUGCUGUUUUGACGUUACCAACAGAAUAAGCACCGGCUAACUCCGUG
rnacentral:rRNA from 1 species